GACGAACGCUGGCGGCGUGCUUAACACAUGCAAGUCGAACGGUGAAGCGCCUUCCUUUUUGGUGGGUGUGGAUGAGUGGCGAACGGGUGAGUAACACGUGAGUAACCUGCCCCCUUCUUCUGGAUAACCGCAUGAAAGUGUGGCUAAUACGGGAUAUUCUGGGUCUGUCGCAUGAUGGGUCUGGGAAAGAUAUUGUUUCGGUGGGGGAUGGGCUCGCGGCCUAUCAGCUUGUUGGUGGGGUGAUGGCCUACCAAGGCGGUGACGGGUAGCCAGCCUGAGAGGGUGGACGGUCACACUGGGACUGAGACACGGCCCAGACUCCUACGGGAGGCAGCAGUGGGGAAUAUUGCACAAUGGGCGCAAGCCUGAUGCAGCGACGCCGCGUGAGGGAUGGAGGCCUUCGGGUUGUGAACCUCUUUCGCCAGUGAAGCAGGCCUGCCUCGUUUGUGGGUGGGUUGACGGUAGCUGGAGAAGAAGCGCCGGCUAACUACGUG
rnacentral:rRNA from 1 species